UGGGGAAUAUUGCACAAUGGGCGCAAGCCUGAUGCAGCCAUGCCGCGUGUAUGAAGAAGGCCUUCGGGUUGUAAAGUACUUUCAGCGGGGAGGAAGGGAGUAAAGUUAAUACCUUUGCUCAUUGACGUUACCCGCAGAAGAAGCACCGGCUAACUCCGUGCCAGCAGCCGCGGUAAUACGGAGGGUGCAAGCGUUAAUCGGAAUUACUGGGCGUAAAGCGCACGCAGGCGGUUUGUUAAGUCAGAUGUGAAAUCCCCGGGCUCAACCUGGGAACUGCAUCUCAUACUGGCAAGCUUGAGUCUCGUAGAGGGGGGUAGAAUUCCAGGUGUAGCGGUGGAAUGCGUAGAGAUCUGGAGGAAUACCGGUGGCGAAGGCGGCCCCCGGGACGAAGACUGACGCUCAGGUGCGAAAGCGUGGGGAGCAAACAGG
rnacentral:rRNA from 1 species